rnacentral:lncRNA from 1 species
GUGCUUUUGGAGGCACCACUCCUGCAGUCAUCAUCUGCGUCCUGCUACUACUUGGUCCCUUAGUAAAGCUGGCCAGUGGAGGUGGUGGGUUUAGUGGGAACUUCCCUUUAUGUGCUACAGUAUACGUAGAAUCAAAAGAGGUCCUUGUCACGCCUAUCGCCCCCUUGUCCUGUCCAAUUGCACCUCUGCUUUUGUAGCCAAAUUAAUGGCCUCAGUUAAGGAAUAGAUGGUAUGCAUUGCCUCUCUUGUAUAUUCAAACGCAAUCCUCCAAUGAACCUAGCAACUUGUUGCGCAUCCGUUUCCAACAGGUUUGUAACACCCUGUAAUUUAGUACAUUCAUAAAAGGACUUUGAGCCUUAACUUUAAAAAAAUGGGUAUUUUUUUUUCAUCCACCGAACUUAUCUGAGACUUGUCGAAAUUUCCACUGAAAUUUCGGCAAAGUUUCCUUUAUACCUGGAGUCCCAAGUUAUCGACAAUCAUCCUGUACAGUUAUACUCAUUUCUCAAUCAUACCAUAAUCAUGUAGAACCUCAACAACACAUCAUUCAUGGUAUAUGCCUCACAUUUCGCAUGUUCAUUUCUUUCCCAUUAACACACAUAAUUCAUAAUAAUUACACCCAUAAUUCAUAAUAAUCGGAAGUAAAUAAACUAAGAUUACAAAUACAGAAUAGUACAUUUUUAUGUCCCGACACUUAAUGUAAAAGGAGUACUAUUACAUGUUAAGUCAUUUAGUUCCUUAAAGACAAAAUACAUUAAUGUUCAUCUUCUUAUUCAAUCAUAUGAAAGGAGACUAGAGGACCUAAAACGCUACUCUUGGCGUGAAUCUGAAGGACCUGCAAUUUCAUAAUGUAUAUAAUAAAUAUAGCAUAAAAGGAAAAUCACACAAUACAUGCACCGGUAAUUAAACAUAUAUUCAACGAUAUGCAAUCAUGGUUCCUUGAAAUUCUCAUUUGUCCUUCCAUUAUUACGUCUCUAUUCAUCCUUCCUAGAAUCAUUUAACAUUUUCAUUUUAUAUCUCGUUUCACCUCACGAGCGCAUUUAAUUUGUUAUAAUAUCUACCACGUGAUUUCUCUCUCUUACUCUAUCUCUUUAUAUCAAUUUCAAUCCCAACAUCUAUUAUACCCGUUAUGGCUUUUCCAUAUAAAUCGUCAAACUCGUCAUGAUUUCGGUCCAAUUUUAGUUUAUAAAUAUAUUCAACUUACAUAUUUCUUGUGCCCAUUUCGACACAUUCCAAUGUUUCUUUAGAUUUUCAGUAAAAUCUCUCAUUAUUAUGGAACCUACCAUCAUUUUCACAAUAUUCACAUCCGACCCAUCUUCAAAUAAUAUGAAUAUCAUACAUACAUCAUUCUAUUUAAUUCAUCAACCUAAUCUCAUUCGACCACUAUAAUUAAGGCCAUAUUUCAUUAUCUAUCACUAUUAUUGGCAUUUUAUUACACUAUUAUAAUUAUCACCAAAUUCUUAUCAUGCCAGCAACAACACAAAUCCUUAAUACAAUAUAUUUAUAUUAUUAGUCAUAAUUUCUUUGACAUCCUCCAUGUGCGCAGUAUAUGAUUCUCAAAUUAUAUCAAUUACAAUUCAUCAAUUAAUUCAAAAUACAUCACACACACACACACACACACAUAUAUCAUUGCAUUCCUUAAGUGUAUAACACCUACCAUGGUUAAUGGACUUCUAUUCUCACGUCUCAAAGCAAUAUGAUAUUUGCCGCCAUGCUUCACAAGAAUUUAGAUCUUCAUCAGUUAUUUAUUUAUUUAUUUCUUCAAUAAUCCAUAACAUAAACACAAAUUACCAUUUUUUUAUUUAAUAGUUAGGUGUCAUCCAACAUUCCAUUUAUAAUCUGACAAGUCAAUCAUCCCGGCAAUAUUAACACCACACAAGUAAGUUUAACUCAAGUUGCAUAUUCCGGUCAUUAGAAAACAAAACUGAUGCCACUAGCCCAUCACCGGGUAACUAGUUCCUCCGCCCAUCUUAUUCCAUAAUUUCCGAUCAAUAUCCACCUCUUCAAGGCCGAAAGAAUAAUCCUAUCAAGAUGUCAAUCCCCAUUUCAUUAAUAUUUUUAAUUAUUCCAUAUCGGAAAUAUCAUUAUAAUACCUCUCCCCUAAAACUUGGAACGGAAUGCUGACACUAAUAAAUUUUAAUUAGUGUUAUUAGUCUCCCAUAUCUGGAUCGGCUAAUCAAGUUCAUUGUAAAUGUCAAAAUUAAUACCACUGAUUGAUGUCAUUGACUAUUUCUAACUUGAAAUAGCCAAUCAGAUUUUUCUUUUCAUAAUAUCUUGGAAUAUUUCCGGAAAUGUUGAUGUCAAGAUUCUUGACAUCAUUAGCUUUCACUUCAGGAAUAGCUAGUCAAGUUUCAUGUGAUUGCCGAUAUCAACAACACCGGUCGAUAUCAUUAACUAUUCUCACCCGAAUAGUUAAUCAAAUUCAGUAUCCCUCAUUUUCAGGGAUGAUUAUGCCGAUGUUAGUAAACCUUACUAACAUCAUUAGCCUCCGCAUUCAGGAUUGGCUAAUCAAGUUUCGUGUGAUUGCCGAUAUCGACAGCACCGGUCAAUAUCAUUAACUAUUCUCACCCGAAUAGUUAAUCAAGUUCAGUAUCCCUCGUUUUCAGGGAUGAUUAUGCCGAUGGAUUAUUAUGCCGAUGUUAGUAAACCUUACUAACAUCAUUAGCCUCCGCAUUCAGGACCGGCUAAUCAAGUUUCGUGUGAUUGCUGAUAUCGACAGCACCGGUCAAUAUCAUUAACUAUUCUCACCCGAAUAGUUAAUCAAGUUCAAUAUCCCUCAUUUUCAGGGAUGAUUAUGCCGAUGUUAGUAAACCUUACUAACAUCAUUAGCCUCCGCAUUCGGGACCGGCUAAUCAAGUUCGAGGAAUGAUCAUCUACGUAAAAAGUGUAGGUAUAGAACACCUACCAGCUGCAGAAGCUCAACUCGCUCUUCCUUGUUGUUGUUGUGCCCCUCCUGCAAUCCCUCCUUAAGCUCCUACUACACGAGCUCUUGAGAAGUCGAGUGAAUGCUUCUCCUACUUUUUUAAUAUAACAUCUUGAAUCAAUAUUUGAAUCUUCCCGAUUUAUUCAUAAUAUUCAUAAAUUCACAAAAUCAAAUAACAAUUUCCAUGGAUGUUCAAAGACAUGAAUUCUCGUCACCGAUUUUCUAAUGUCCCAAGACAUUUAAUCUAUCACCAAACAAUGUAAUUUAACUUAAAUUUCAUCAAUGACUACACAUGCCAAAUUUUUCCAAAGCACACUCAAAAUGAUUCCUUAUAUCAUAAUUCAACUUACAACAUCCUUUACCAUGAUUUCCCAUUCCAACAUAACCAAAGUAUUAAUCAAUCACUAUUCUUUAUAGAAUUUAACUAUACCAUCACUUAUCAACACAUCAAACAUGACUCAAACACAACACAAACACAACCAUCAUCAUUAAACCUAUUGCCAUUAUCCUUAGUCCCAAAACAUACUUUUUAUGCUAAAGCUCAGAUUCUCAUUCAAUAUUUCUCAAACCAAACUUAAAACAUCAUUCUGUAAAUUUAGAAUUCAAUAAAUCCAAACGGUGUAAUUAUACAUCAUCAUCGUUAGAAUAACAUAUCCAAAAUUAACAUACAUCCAACGGUUAAAUCUCCUGAUAUCAGAACAAUACCGGACUGACCUGAAAAUUGGAGACCUACUGUUCGGGAAAUACAGUUUCUGGUAGGAGUGUUUGUUUCCGAUCGUAACCGUUCAGAAUUUAUAUAACAUCUGGAUUAACAACAUAUCCAAAAUCCAGACCAAUCCAACGGUGAAAAAAUGAUAUAAUGUCCGACGAACAAGGCUGUCUUGAAGGGUGAUUUUCCAGAAAUGUUCCUCCGGUGACAGCCCUCAAACAAAGUCUGCUAUUUACAAUCCCUCCGGUCAGAAUGUAGGUGACAUUGAGUAUAAUAACAUAUCCAAAAGUAAAUCUAAUCCAACGGUGGAAAGUCAAAAUAUGGCUGCCGAAGUUCCUGCCCUGUUGCAAUCCCAAAACUCAUAAUUUCAAAUCAAUUUAUUCCUUCAAUUUUUCAGCAAAUCAAGCCAUUAUCAUGCAAUUAAUCUUGAAAUUCACAAGAAUAAUUACUCCCCCAAAAUAUUUACAUGAACCCUAAAAUUUUAAACUUGGAGGUUUUCUUCUCCUCAUGCAAGAACAAGAGAGAAAAACGAAAUUACUAAAGGGUAUGUUGCUUACCUUUGCUACUUUAACUUAUUUCAAUGAAUUCUUGCAAAAAUUUACAAAAAUCAUGUCCUCCUCUUCCAAUUUCCAGCUUCUUCCCUUUGUUUCUCUCAAGCUCUAUAACUCUUUAAGUUGUCACUUAAUUUGUUUUCUUGGAUAUAAUCCUCCAGAGAACACUCACUUUUGAUUUAGCUUGAAGAAAUGAAGAGAAAAUGAAGAAAAUGGGACAAAACAAAUGGUCUCCCUCCUGUUUUUCCAUUUGCAGAGGACG